CCGGCGCCGGGCUGCAGAAAGUGGGUUUGCGCGGGCGCCGCGCUACAGCGAGUGCUAACCCCAAGCCCUAGCAUGGUCGUUACCUGGCGGUGUGACCUUGGACGAGUCCCUUCACCUCCCCGAUCCUUUGUUUCCCAUUGCAUUAGGGAGGGGGUGAAGUUAGACUGGUGUUUCUGGAACCCAUACUGGCUGCCAGAGGGAAGAAAGGAUGCCUGUUCUGGGGGAGAAGACUGACAUUCCUCCUCCCUGUCUCCCCUGUGUCGGGAUCUCUGCGGCCUGAGUGCCGUGACUGAGGCACAGUCCUGCCUUGAACUGGCUGUGUGACCUGAAGGCAGCCGCUUCACCUCUCUGGUCUCAGCGUCCUCCUCGGCAGAAGAGGCAGUGAUGCUCAGGUUUAUGGAGUACCUACUGCGGCCCAGGCCCUGUUUUAGUCUGUAUGCUCCUGAGAAAGAUGUGAUGAACUCGACAAAUUCCUUCGUUCUACAGGAAGAAAGAAGGUUAUACAAGAGCAGUGGGCUUCUGAGAAAAUGAGGAAAUGCUAACCUCAUUGACCGGCCUCCUGCAUCUGCCCCGAGGGACAGUAAUAAAAAACCCAUCUCACAGAACACCUCUGCUAUAUGACGGGCCUUGAUAAUAUUCCCUCUGUGGAUGAGGAAACCGUGCCGCCCUGGGCCUUGCAGAUCCAAGGGCCAUCUUACGAGGACACUCCUGUUACGCCCGUGCCUCCUCAGCCAUCUGCCUUCUCAUGCUGGGCUCACCUGCUCACCCUUCCUUCUUCGAACUGCACCAGCCGCCUGCCUUGCUAAGAACAGUUACCCACGAUGUGAAAAUAAGGCAAGGGAGGAAUGCGCGUCCUUUCACUGCCGUGCUGGAGUUGGAUCCGAAGGCUCUUCCAAGGAUUCUUCAAUGAUGCGUACCCUCGCUUGGCUCACCGUUUGCUAUUGAUCAGGACCUGGAUCCACUGGUUGCUUGGAGAUUCAUGCCGCCAGAUGGAGACACGAAUGAUUUCUGCCUGGUAGAAAAGAUGACCCCAAAGGGUAUGGUUAUGGAGGGACAUACACCAAUUUUGAAAAUCUAACCCAGUAGCUGUCUUAUCCCACAUUCUUCUUCAGUGGCUUUAACACCAUACUUCAGAUGCUCCCUCAGUCAGCUUGUCUCCCUGCCUGUUCCUUCAUGAAUGAGUAAAAGGAAUCUUUGACGCGUU